rnacentral:lncRNA from 1 species
GGUGGAGGGACGCUGUCAUUCACAGUGGGACGUCCACAUGGAAAAGGACAGGAGGGAAGAGGGCUGGUCUCCACCUGCCUGUGGGCCAGAGACAUGCCCGGAGACCGCCAACCAGAGAGAGGUGGACCAUGGACUCUCACGGACAGACUCUCACCAGGGGUGACACGUGCUCUAGGGUUGGGUCAGUCUCUGUCCCUCAAGGUGGAAAGGUCAGUCUUCUGGUCACCUGGGGACCAGACGGCGGCUAACUCCAGCCAGGACAGAAGGGAGAAACUGCUGCUAUGACGGCGGGUCUGCCCGGGCCUUGCCUGCCCCUGUCAGAGGACCCUGGCCACAGGGUUCACUCAGCCUGGGUUCACUCCUGGACACUGGGCACCAGACCCACCACAGUAAGAACCAGAGAGAGCCCUGCCCUGGUGGGGUUCACUCCAGGGGAGCUGGAGGGGCACAGGGUGAGGUCCCGGUUUCCUCUCAGAACGACUCCCCAUCACCUACACCGAUUCUGGACUCUUCAGGCCCAGCACCUCCUAGAACAUGUUUGCAGGUAGGGAGGAGGGAAAGCCGGGACCGAGACCCACAUUAAGCCUGGGGCCUUAAGAGCCGCUCGCCUGCUGGGGAGCGGAGGGGAAGCCGACCCCCAGACCCAGCCACCUGUUGGGGGGCAGGGACUUCAAGCUGGGAAGCUGACUGAGCAGGGGUCCCCCGGGACAUCAGAGCAGGCGCAGAACUUGUACACAGAAGCCCCACAGGAGACCUACACUCCCUGCUGAAGACAGAGUCACAGUGACAAAGCCAAGUCCUCAUAACCACACAGGAAAUGAACUCCCUGGGGGGACUACGAUGCCAUGGGCACGCGCUGUAGAGACCCAGGAUCAGGAGACAAGAAAAGAUCGAAACUACAAAAUAGAUAGGUUAAAGUUGAUUCAGAAGAUAAAAGAAGGCAUCAAACCCAUAAUAAAAGCAGAAGACAACAGGAAACAAGAACAGAUAGAUCUGAAAAAAAAUUAAACAUGACACUUUUUUCUAGAAAUUAACAACAUAAUGAUCAAGAAGGGCAUCUAACACUUGAAUUUUAUAACAGAUUAGACACAGAGCAAAG